rnacentral:rRNA from 1 species
GAAUAUUGCACAAUGGGCGCAAGCCUGAUGCAGCGACGCCGCGUGAACGAAGAAGGAUUUCGGUCUGUAAAGUUCUUUUCUGUGUGACGAGAGUGGACGGUAGCACAGGAAUAAGUCUCGGCUAACUACGUGCCAGCAGCCGCGGUAAAACGUAGGAGGCAAGCGUUAUCCGGAGUUACUGGGCGUAAAGCGCGUGUAGGUGGGCUGGUAAGUUACUUAUGAAAGCUCUGGGCUAAACUCGGAGAGGUUAAGUGAUACUGCUAGUCUUGAGGGGAUGAGAGGUAAGUGGAAUUCCGCGUGUAGUGGUGAAAUGCGUAGAUAUGCGGAGGAACACCAGUGGCGAAGGCGACUUACUGGCAUCUUACUGACACUCAGACGCGAAAGCAUGGGUAGCGAACGGG